UUCCUACGGGGGCAGCAGUAGGGAAUCUUCCGCAAUGGACGAAAGUCUGACGGAGCAACGCCGCGUGAGUGAUGAAGGUUUUCGGAUCGUAAAGCUCUGUUGUUAGGGAAGAACAAGUACCGUUCGAAUAGGGCGGUACCUUGACGGUACCUAACCAGAAAGCCACGGCUAACUACGUGCCAGCAGCCGCGGUAAUACGUAGGUGGCAAGCGUUGUCCGGAAUUAUUGGGCGUAAAGGGCUCGCAGGCGGUUUCUUAAGUCUGAUGUGAAAGCCCCCGGCUCAACCGGGGAGGGUCAUUGGAAACUGGGGAACUUGAGUGCAGAAGAGGAGAGUGGAAUUCCACGUGUAGCGGUGAAAUGCGUAGAGAUGUGGAGGAACACCAGUGGCGAAGGCGACUCUCUGGUCUGUAACUGACGCUGAGGAGCGAAAGCGUGGGGAGCGAACAGGAUUAGAUA
rnacentral:rRNA from 1 species